CCUACGGGAGGCAGCAGUGGGGAAUAUUGCGCAAUGGGCGAAAGCCUGACGCAGCGACGCCGCGUGAGGGAUGAAGGUCUUCGGAUCGUAAACCUCUGUCAGCAGGGAAGAACGGUCACUGUGCUAAUCAGCAGUGAAUUGACGGUACCUGCAAAGGAAGCACCGGCUAACUCCGUGCCAGCAGCCGCGGUAAUACGGAGGGUGCGAGCGUUAAUCGGAAUUACUGGGCGUAAAGCGCUCGUAGGCGGUAUGUCAAGUCAAGGGUGAAAUCCCCGCGCUCAACGUGGGAACUGCCUUUGAAACUGGCAGACUGGAGUGUGUGAGAGGAUAGUGGAAUGCCAGGUGUAGGAGUGAAAUCCGUAGAUAUCUGGAGGAACAUCAGUGGCGAAGGCGACUAUCUGGCACAUAACUGACGCUGAGGAGCGAAAGCGUGGGUAGCAAACAGGAUUAGAUACCCUAGUAGUC
rnacentral:rRNA from 1 species